AGCGAACGCUGGCGGCAGGCCUAACACAUGCAAGUCGAGCGGGAACUUUCGGGUGUCUGCGGCGGACGGGUGAGUAACGCGGGGGAACGUGCCCACUGGUUCGGAAUUACUCAGGGAAACUUGAGCUAAUACCGGAUACGCCCUUAUGGGGAAAGGCUUGCUGCCGGAGGAUGGGCCCUCGUCUGAGUAGCUAGUUGGUGAGGUAAGGGCGCACCAAGGCGACGAUCAGUAGCUGGCAUGAGAGGAUGAUGAGACACACUGGCACUAAGACGCGGUCCGGACUCCUGCGGGAUGGGGGAGUGGGGGAUAUUGGACUAUCGGCGCAAGGCUGAUGCAGCCCGGCUGGUAAAGUGAUUUUGUCCUUAGAGAAGUGAAGCUCUUUAAUCCGGGACGAUAAUGACGGUACCGGAAGAAUAAGCCCCGGCUAACUUCGUG
rnacentral:rRNA from 1 species